rnacentral:rRNA from 1 species
GAUUAAGUUAUUAAGGGCGCACGGUGGAUGCCUUGGCACUAGAAGCCGAUGAAGGACGUUACUAACGACGAUAUGCUUUGGGGAGCUGUAAGUAAGCUUUGAUCCAGAGAUUUCCGAAUGGGGAAACCCAGCAUGAGUUAUGUCAUGUUAUCGAUAUGUGAAUACAUAGCAUAUCAGAAGGCACACCCGGAGAACUGAAACAUCUUAGUACCCGGAGGAAGAGAAAGAAAAUUCGAUUCCCUUAGUAGCGGCGAGCGAAACGGGAAGAGCCCAAACCAACAAGCUUGCUUGUUGGGGUUGUAGGACACUCUAUACGGAGUUACAAAGGACGACAUUAGACGAAUCAUCUGGAAAGAUGAAUCAAAGAAGGUAAUAAUCCUGUAGUCGAAAAUGUUGUCUCUCUUGAGUGGAUCCUGAGUACGACGGAGCACGUGAAAUUCCGUCGGAAUCUGGGAGGACCAUCUCCUAAGGCUAAAUACUCUCUAGUGACCGAUAGUGAACCAGUACCGUGAGGGAAAGGUGAAAAGCACCCCGGAAGGGGAGUGAAAUAGAACCUGAAACCGUGUGCUUACAAGUAGUCAGAGCCCGUUAAUGGGUGAUGGCGUGCCUUUUGUAGAAUGAACCGGCGAGUUACGAUUUGAUGCAAGGUUAAGCAGUAAAUGUGGAGCCGUAGCGAAAGCGAGUCUGAAUAGGGCGUUUAGUAUUUGGUCGUAGACCCGAAACCAGGUGAUCUACCCUUGGUCAGGUUGAAGUUCAGGUAACACUGAAUGGAGGACCGAACCGACUUACGUUGAAAAGUGAGCGGAUGAACUGAGGGUAGCGGAGAAAUUCCAAUCGAACCUGGAGAUAGCUGGUUCUCUCCGAAAUAGCUUUAGGGCUAGCCUCAAGUGAUGAUUAUUGGAGGUAGAGCACUGUUUGGACGAGGGGCCCCUCUCGGGUUACCGAAUUCAGACAAACUCCGAAUGCCAAUUAAUUUAACUUGGGAGUCAGAACAUGGGUGAUAAGGUCCGUGUUCGAAAGGGAAACAGCCCAGACCACCAGCUAAGGUCCCAAAAUAUAUGUUAAGUGGAAAAGGAUGUGGCGUUGCCCAGACAACUAGGAUGUUGGCUUAGAAGCAGCCAUCAUUUAAAGAGUGCGUAAUAGCUCACUAGUCGAGUGACACUGCGCCGAAAAUGUACCGGGGCUAAACAUAUUACCGAAGCUGUGGAUUGUCCUUUGGACAAUGGUAGGAGAGCGUUCUAAGGGCGUUGAAGCAUGAUCGUAAGGACAUGUGGAGCGCUUAGAAGUGAGAAUGCCGGUGUGAGUAGCGAAAGACGGGUGAGAAUCCCGUCCACCGAUUGACUAAGGUUUCCAGAGGAAGGCUCGUCCGCUCUGGGUUAGUCGGGUCCUAAGCUGAGGCCGACAGGCGUAGGCGAUGGAUAACAGGUUGAUAUUCCUGUACCACCUAUAAUCGUUUUAAUCGAUGGGGGGACGCAGUAGGAUAGGCGAAGCGUGCGAUUGGAUUGCACGUCUAAGCAGUAAGGCUGAGUAUUAGGCAAAUCCGGUACUCGUUAAGGCUGAGCUGUGAUGGGGAGAAGACAUUGUGUCUUCGAGUCGUUGAUUUCACACUGCCGAGAAAAGCCUCUAGAUAGAAAAUAGGUGCCCGUACCGCAAACCGACACAGGUAGUCAAGAUGAGAAUUCUAAGGUGAGCGAGCGAACUCUCGUUAAGGAACUCGGCAAAAUGACCCCGUAACUUCGGGAGAAGGGGUGCUCUUUAGGGUUAACGCCCAGAAGAGCCGCAGUGAAUAGGCCCAAGCGACUGUUUAUCAAAAACACAGGUCUCUGCUAA